rfam:Vitrella brassicaformis CCMP3155 genome assembly, contig: scaffold135
AUCGCGGUGUUCCGCUCAUUCGCAUCAUUCUUUCGCCUUUUACUAAAGAAUGCCGUGCGUGGGACCCAGUUAACGCGUCUGACGCAAUUUUUGCACCCCCCUGCGCCCUUGGGCGU